rnacentral:misc_RNA from 1 species
AAAGUCGUAACAAGGUUUCCGUAGGUGAACCUGCGGAAGGAUCAUUACAGAGAAGGCCCCCCAGGGGGCAGUGUCUCCCACCCGCUGUCUACCAUACUGUUGUUGCCUUGGCGGGCGCAUGCCCGCCAGAGGACCACCACGCUCUUUUAGGUGUUGUCUGAGUGGGCUCUAAGAUAAUCAAAACUUUCAACAACGGAUCUCUUGGUUCUG